rnacentral:rRNA from 1 species
GAUGAACGCUAGCUACAGGCUUAACACAUGCAAGUCGAGGGGAAACGACAUCGAAAGCUUGCUUUUGAUGGGCGUCGACCGGCGCACGGGUGAGUAACGCGUAUCCAACCUGCCCACCACUUGGGGAUAACCUUGCGAAAGUAAGACUAAUACCCAAUGAUAUCCCACGAAGGCAUCGGAAUGGGAUUAAAGAUUUAUCGGUGAUGGAUGGGGAUGCGUCUGAUUAGCUUGUUGGCGGGGUAACGGCCCACCAAGGCGACGAUCAGUAGGGGUUCUGAGAGGAAGGUCCCCCCANAUUGGAACUGAGACACGGUCCAAAACUCCUACGGGAGGCAGCAGUGAGGAAUAUUGGUCAAUGGACGAGAGUCUGAACCAGCCAAGUAGCGUGCAGGAUGACGGCCCUAUGGGUUGUAAACUGCUUUUAUAAGGGAAUAAAGUGAGUCUCGUGAGACUUUUUGCAUGUACCUUAUGAAUAAGGACGGCUAAUUCCGUGCCAGCAGCCGC